rnacentral:hammerhead_ribozyme from 1 species
AUCCAGAUGACGAGUCCCAAAUUAGACGAUAUCCGCAUCCUGGAU